GAAAAUUAAAAAAUCACAUUGGGAGAGAAUUGGCAGCCAGCUCUAGUAAACAACUUACUAAAACUCGUAGGCUCAAUUUGGAAGCAAAAGUGUUUCCAACUUAAACCUACUCGCCGAACUGGAGCCGUAAGUGGGGAAAAAAAAAAUUCAAAGGGUUACAUAUAUUUUGCAUGCAAUUUUAAACUCAGGAACCGUACAAUUUUUUAACGCAGAAGGCAGGGAAUUCCACUGAUCCGCGACUCGGAAAGAAAAACUUUGUCGACCGAGCUCUGUGCGCACUUUUGGGAGAAUUAAACGGUGCUCGCCGCCACUAUUUCUCAUCACUCGGCCGGUGGUGAUUCUCGCCUUUGCGUCCAUGUCAGUCUCGCCACUGGUGCAUUUCUUGAAAAACAUCAAGUCAUUAAACUUAAGCUGCUGCUGCACCGACAGCAACCCGUGUUCGGCCCUGGAUGACUCCGGACAGGACACUUUCAGGUUCUGAUUUUGCUCCUCCAUACACGACGAACUGGCUGCGGUCGGUCAAAAAACUUUUCAGCCAAUUUAGGAGGUUGCCGCCGACGCCAUAGUGGGCGAGUUUGGACAGCAGACGGUCAUGCGGGACGCGGUCGAAGGCUUUGGCCCAGUCCAAGAAGAUGGCGUGGACGUGCGUCCCGCUUCUUUCGUCCAGCCUGCAGGCCCAACUGUCAAAGGUCUUGCACAAAAGUGUGGUGCAUGACCUUUUUUGCCUGAACCCAUGUUGGCAGUCGGGAAUAAUUUUGCUCUCGUUUAUAAAAUUUUCAACCCUGUCUCGCACGCACCUUUCUAAUAUUUUUCCGACUAAUGAAGUUACACUUAUGGGGCGAUAAUUGUCCAGGCAGCACUUUUUCCCACUCUUAAAAAUAGGAGUGACUGCGGCCGUUUUCCACCCCUCUGGAAGUGCACCCUGCCGAAGGGAAAGAUUGAAAAUUCGAGCGAGGCUGGGGGCGAGUGAGGCGGCACACUUAUUCAGCACAAUCGCGGGCACGUUGUCGGGGCCGGUCGCUGCAUUUGUUUUUAUUUGCCGCAGAUGGGAGCACACACUCGCUGCGCUAACAGAGAAAUCACUUAACACUGGGGCCGCCGCGCUGGCAGGUGAUCGGCGCACGAAUGGGAAAUAGUUUUGCACAGUAUUGAAAUUCUUGAGAAACGCACGGCUGAACGCGGAGGCGACUAACUCGGGCUUCGACACUUUCUCGCCAUCAAUUUCAAACACUGCGGCUGCAGGCGAAACUUUACUCUUCUCCUUCACGUAGUUCCAGAAAAAUUUAUUUCCGCCUGGUCCACGGCCCAGAUCCCACAUCCACUUAUCGCGUGCCAGUCGAACUGCCUUCUGCACAGAUUUUCUCGCUUUUUCAAACUCGAGACGUGAGAAAGCUGAUUUUGUUUUUCGCCAGGCUGCAUACAUUUUGUCUCGUUUGCUCAUAAGCGAGCUGACCUCUUUUGUGAGCCAUGGUGUGCAUUUUCGUUUCUUCGGGCGGGCAAUUUUCUUUGGAACGAUUUCGGCGAGGGUAACAAAAAACAUUUGCUGCCAUUUCUCCCAAGCUUUACUCACUGAGCAGAAAUUAAAUUCCAGAUUUUCCAAUUUUCUGAAAAGUUCAACUCCAAGCUCAUUCCAAUCCACUUUUUUAAAGUCAAAAUAUUCUCGGCGGGCGCGUCGGGGCUUUUCUCGCCGAACAGUUAACUCAAGCACAAUUGCAUCAUGGUCACUCACACCAGGGGUGACUUCCGCCCUUGAAAUUAACCCCUCAGCGUCACAAAGGGCGAGGUCAAGAAUUUUUGAUGUGGAGUCUGUUGUGCGCGUUGCGUCUUUAAUAAAUUGUGUCAAUGAGAGGUCGUCAAAAAUAUCCAAAAACUCUGCUGCGGGUGCGAGUCCGGCGACUGGCGGGUCAUGCGUCCAAUUAACGUCCAGAUUAAAAUCGCCCGUGAGAAUGACGCUGUCAAAGUCGUGCUUUACUUCAGCAACCCGUUCGAGUGAAUUUAUUAGCUCGUCAUUGUAUGCAGCGGUCGCGUUUGGCCUUCUGUAUACAGAGCCGACCAAGAUUUUUAAUUUGUCCAUGUUUACUUCCAGCCAGACUACUUCCGCGCCUGCCUCAAGGUGUUGGAGGCGGCGGGGGUGCAACUCGGGGCGCGCGGCAAUAAGGGUUCCGCCGGCAGCACGGCGACCACUUCUCCUAUCAUUACGAAAAACAACGUAAUCUGACGGCAUAAUUUCGUUGUCUCCAACGUCGGGAGACAACCAGGUCUCAUUAAUGCAAACAAGAUCUGCGUCGAUUGUGUCAAUUGCCGCGAGAAUAUCCGCGCGCCUUUUUCGAUUGCAGAGAGAGCGAGCAUUAAACGAAUAAAGUCGGUAGAAGGUGCGAUUUUUAUUGCGAGACGAGGAUUUUUGGCCGGCAGGGGGACUCAAUGGAGGAGUAUCUGCGCUAAUGAACGAGUCGGAGAAAUUUGGCAGGGAGCAGGACCAGCAGACGAAAUCUUCGUUGCCCCUGAACUUUUUUAUCUCCUUUUGGCUCCAGCGCAUACAACUCGAGUGAUAAAACUUUUUACACUCACCGCAUUUUAUCCUGAUUUGAUUCUUCCUGCCGUCGCGGUCGCAGAGCACGCAGGGGCCCGGGUUGAGUUCAAUGUCACCGGCGAGGGCGAUGAGCAGCAGCAAACGCGACCAAAGGUCGAGCCGAUGCCGGGCAUACCUGCGAUUCCUGCGUCGAGCGGUGCUGGGUGCAAGCACACGCACAAACAAAACCGUUCUCCAGCUCGUGCAUUUUGACCGUGCACAGUUGCCGACAGCGCACCAACAUGUCACACUACUUUUUUCAAUGGUCUCGAGAUAUGUGAAACGUACCGUGAACACACCAUACUGCCCUCGAUAACCUUGGCGGUUCUUCUGCAAAGCGUCCUUUGGCAGCGGGAAAAGGGCGACGAGAAAAAGGGCGAGCACCACUCCCUUGCCCGCUACCAUGUUUCACACACACGAGGCCGGAGCACUGUCGGACAACAAAGUGGAAACUUUUCACUCGGGGGGAAAGGUGAGUCUCCGCUGAGCAGCGCCCGUCGGACCCUCUAACGUACCUCAGACCGUUUACCCACCCCCGCAGGGCAGGGCACGCGCCUGGCCGCCCCCGGGCGCUGCUAGGAUAUCCACGGUACCCUGUGCCGAGUGUGCAGGUCGGGAGUGGGCAAAAACCACCCUUUUUUCUCGAUUAAGCUGGAGCUCCCGACACACGCGUGCACACCGGCCGAUGUCAGCCUCGACUCCUCACAUCUCAAUGGCCAUUUUUCAUCUCAAUGGCCAUUUUUUUUUGCCAGGAGAGGCCAGUCCGCCCAUUUGCGGCCGGUCGGUGCACGACGAUUUUAGCAUCGGAGACUCCAGCAGAGUCUUCAAGUGGCAGCAACCUUUAUCAGGGCGUCCUGCUCCCUGCCUUUGAAUGAAUGGAGGCCACUGGUGCUCAAAUACUCGGCAAAAUCAGCUCAGAAAGUCUGGCAGCUCGCAGCGAGUCACUCGUCAUCGGCAGGCGAUGCCAGGCCGCCUCCUGUGCAUGCAAUUCCGCUGAAGACUGUUGUAGCCUCGUCAAGCACCAGCACAGUCAAGCACAGUCUUCAGUGGCACCAUCCUUCUGCAGGGCGUCCUGCACACUACCCUUCAAUGAGAGGAGGCACCUGGUGCCCAUUCACUCCAUGAAGUCCCGACUAGAAAGCCUGGAAGCUCGGAACGAGUCGCUCGUCAUUUGUUGGACAGGCCAGUCCGCCCAUUUGCGGCCGGUCGGUGCACGACGAUUUUAGCAUCGGAGACUCCAGCAGAGUCUUCAAGUGGCGGCAACCUUUAUCAGGGCGUCCUGCUCCGUGCCCUUGAAUGACUGGAGGCCACUGGCGCUUAAAUACUCUGCAAAAUCAGCCCAGAAAGUCUGGCAGCUCGCAGCGAGUCACUCGUAAU